rnacentral:tRNA from 1 species
GCGCACUUAGCUCAGUGGUAAGAGCAUCACUCUUGAAUGUUGAGAUUGCAGGUUCAAUUCCUGCAGUGCAAA